rnacentral:rRNA from 1 species
CUACGGGUGGCAGCAGUGAGGAAUUUUGCGCAAUGGGGGAAACCCUGACGCAGCAACGCCGCGUGAGUGAUGAAGGCCUUCGGGUCGUAAAGCUCUGUCAAGUGGGAAGAACCUGGCAGGUAAUAAUACUAUUUGCCACUGACGGUACCAUUGAAGGAAGCACCGGCUAACUCCGUGCCAGCAGCCGCGGUAAUACGGGAGGGUGCGAGCGUUAUUCGGAAUUAUUGGGCGUAAAGGGCGCGUAGGCGACCUGAUAAGUCAGAUGUGAAAGCCCUGGGCUUAACCCUGGAAGUGCAUUUGAUACUGUCAGGCUUGAGUAUGGGAGAGGGAAGUGGAAUUCCUGGUGUAGAGGUGAAAUUCGUAGAUAUCAGGAGGAACACCGGUGGCGAAGGCGACUUCCUGGACCAAUACUGACGCUGAGGCGCGAAGGCGUGGGUAGCAAACAGGAUUAGAUACCCCUGUAGUC